CUCUUCAUUAUGCGCACAAUUGCAGCAUCAAUAGCAUAUCUCCUGUCCUUAUCAACGUCUUCAACAACCUUCUUUCUUUCAUCUACUGGUGGGAGAGGAAUCUUGAUUCUCCUCAUUCUGUCGGUGAACUUGUGGUUGACUUCAAAGUAGUCUGUUUGGGAAAUGGUCUUUGUAUUUGGUUCCUUUAUAAGGAUCUUAUGCUUGGCACAAGACAAGGAAUGAAGCACUCUGACCAAGUCAUCAUGGGUCAAGUUUAAAUGAGUGACAAUCUCAGAAUAACUGAGUCUAUCUGAAGAAUUAAAAAGCAGCAGGAGAGCAGCCUGGUAGGUUGACACAAUCAGCUCAAUAGUUUUUUGCUCAAACUUGCCAUUGAGAUGGCAAGACCCCAAUGAAUAGAUCCAUGUUAGCUUCCGGUGCUUGCUUUUUUUAUCAUAGAAUUCCUUGAAAAUUUCAACACCCCUGACCAUCUCUGCUGGAAGAUUGAGAUCAGAGGAUUUAUAGCUGGGCCAAAAUCCAGUUGUAAGAACAGUAACUGUUAAAUCAAUCCCAGGAUGUGCAUUCGGGUUAUUGCCAAGAUAUUUCUCAAAGCUUGUCUGAUUUUCCCUUGCCAGCGUCAAAUCAGUAACCAUCCCCUCCAUCUUUGAAGUGAACUGCCCACCACACUGCUGCUUCAGUUUUGUAAGAAUACUCCUUUCAUGAUCAUCAUUAGCACUCCGGUCAAAAAGAAGACGCCGAGCAAGCUUCUUUCUGUAGAAUUCAGCAAAAAGGUCCUUAUCACUGAUAUACGCCAGCAAUUUCACUACCUUUUCCAGCAUUUCUUCUAUGGCUUCAUCGCUCAGUUUCUCACUUCCACCCUUCUUGAGGAUAUUAUCACAAAAAGUUGCCAGUAGUUCUGCGCUUGAACUGCCAGCAACUGUUUUAUUACAGAAUAUCUCAAAAGCCUCUUUCAUGGCCUUGUGAAAGAGGGUGUGAUUUUGAAAACAAUCAUUCACGUAUGCCAUAUAUUUGUCAUGCAGCUCAAUUAUUUUUCUCACAAGAACCUGUUCCUGUACACCACCAUUCACAGCCAGGCUACUUGCAGCAUCUUCAGCUUGCUGGACCAAAACUGUCCCUUCAGCAGUAAUAUGCUGCUUGAAAAUAUUAGCAACAGGUUCCAAGCCUUUGGAUAUUUUAUGGUAAAGCCGAUACAUUCUUGAAAGAUCCUCCACCUUAUCAUCUUGAAGCAAUGCACGACAUCCAGAAUGCUCCUUUUCAAGCAGUUGGUUUGCAUAGACUACCAACAACUCAUGUUCUCUACUAACUUUGGCUCACUGCUUGAAUGCAAAUAAUGAGAAACUCUAUCCCUCUCCUUCUUCAAGCAUUCCUCCGCCUUCAACAUGUAGUCUGGACAAGAAUCCUCCAAAAACCAGUUUGAUGCCUUACGAGAAUAGUAAGCACCAGUAUCUUGAAGCAUGCGUGCUUCAAAAUCUUGUUCAUAACGAUCCAUUGUACCCAUUCCAAUCUCAACAAAUAUAUCUAAAACAUUCUUCAACAAUGCCCUGUCAAUCUGCUCU
rnacentral:misc_RNA from 1 species